rnacentral:rRNA from 1 species
AUGCAAGCGUGUGUUGAAUCCCAUAGCAACCCUCUCCUCUUCAUGGUAUCAGAGACCACCGCCCGGAUCAAUCCCUUUGCUCCGGCCGUCGAUCCCGCUUCCGCCGCUAUGGGCGACCCCGACUCCCCCGAGACUACGGCCUCUGACGACUCUGGCGCUCCCACCGUCGUUGCGCCGUCUCCGUCCCCUCCUGCUCUGCUUCCAGCCGCCCUCUCCGCCGACGCUGCUGCCGCGGCUGGCUCUGUUGCUGCCCCGCCUGCUGCCCCGCCGCCCGUGGUCACCGUCGCUUCGUCUGUUCUCCAGACCAUCGACAUUCGCCGCCACGUCCCUGUCACUCUUGACUUGCUCGCCGGCAACUACGCGCAGUGGCGGCGCCACUUCGACACCGCGAUCGGGAUGUUCGGUCUCCGCGAUCAUGUGGACGCCGUCGCCGUCCCGCGCUUCGAUGACCCUGACUGGGCGAUGGCGGACCACGCCGUUGUCCACUGGCUCAACACCACCGUUGCGCCUGAUCUGCUGGACGCUGUGAUGGCGCAGGAGGACACCGCCCUCACCGUCUGGACGGCCAUCGACGACAUCUUCCGGGACAAUCAACUUGCCCGGGCCGUCUACAUUGACGCCGAGUAUCACGCCGUGGUGCAAGGCGAUCUGACGAUCAUGCAGUACUGCACCAAGUUGAAGGUGUACGCUGAUCAGCUCCGGGACCUCGGCCAGCCGAUGACGGAGCCGCGGCAGGUCUUCCAUCUACUGCGCGGCCUCACCGCCAGUUCCACGGCGCCAUCCCGCACAUCACGGCGCAGUCGCCGCUGCCGUCGCUUCUCCAGACGCGCUCCUUCCUCCUUCUCGAAGAGCACCGGAACGAGCAGACCGCGCGCCUCCAGGGCGCGCACGCGCUCUUCGCCGGGCGUGGCGCCAGGCCGCCCCCUUCCUCCCCACCUGCUGCCCCCCUGCCGUGCCUGA